AGAAAAGUAAGCUAAAAUUAUCAAGCUAUUAGGCUCAUACCCUAAAUAUGGGAUUAAUCCCCUUUCCUA
rnacentral:tRNA from 2 species